GGAUUAGAUACCCUGGUAGUCCACGCCGUAAACGAUGGGUACUAGAUGUUGGUUUCACUUACGGGUGGGAUCAGUGUCGCAGUUAACGCAUUAAGUACCCCGCCUGGGGAGUACGCCCGCAAGGGUGAAACUCAAAGGAAUUGACGGGGGCCCGCACAAGCGGUGGAGCAUGUGGUUUAAUUCGAUGCAACGCGCAGAACCUUACCGGGGCUUAAACUGUUAGGUAAACCCUGUGAAAGCAGGACUGUUCUUCGGAACGACCUAAUAGAGGUGCUGCAUGGCUGUCGUCAGCUCGUGCCG
rnacentral:rRNA from 1 species